UGGGGAAUUUUGGACAAUGGGCGAAAGCCUGAUCCAGCAAUGCCGCGUGUGUGAAGAAGGCCUUCGGGUUGUAAAGCACUUUUGUCCGGAAAGAAAUCCUCUGGGUUAAUACCUCGGGGGGAUGACGGUACCGGAAGAAUAAGCACCGGCUAACUACGUGCCAGCAGCCGCGGUAAUACGUAGGGUGCAAGCGUUAAUCGGAACUACUGGGCGUAAAGCGUGCGCAGGCGGUUUUGUAAGACGGAUGUGAAAUCCCCGGGCUUAACCUGGGAACUGCAUUCGUGACUGCAAGGCUAGAGUAUGGCAGAGGGGGGUAGAAUUCCANCGUGNAGGCAGUGAAAUGCGUAGAGAUGUGGAGGAAUACCGAUGGCGAAGGCAGCCCCCUGGGCCAAUACUGACGCUCAUGCACGAAAGCGUGGGGGAGCAAACAGGAUUAGAUACCCUGGUAGUCCACGCCCUAAACGAUGUCAACUAGUUGUUGGGGAUUCAUUUCCUUAGUAACGUAGCUAACGCGUGAAGUUGACCGCCUGGGGAGUACGGUCGCAAGAUUAAAACUUAAAUGAAUUGACGGGGUCAUA
rnacentral:rRNA from 1 species